AGAGUUUGAUCAUGGCUCAGAACGAACGCUGGCGGCGUGCCUAACACAUGCAAGUCGAACGGGUAUAUUGAGGUAGUAAUACUUUAAUGUAUUAGUGGCGCACGGGUGAGUAACACGUAGAUAAUCUACCCUAGAGUGGGGGACAACCCAGGGAAACUUGGGCUAAUACCGCAUAAGACCACGGACUGAGAUGUUAGUGGUAAAAAGAGCAAUUUGCUUUAGGAUGAAUCUGCGGCCUAUCAGGUAGUUGGUGGGGUAAUGGCCCACCAAGCCAAUGACGGGUAGCCGGUCUAAGAGGACGAACGGCCACACUGGAACUGAGACACGGUCCAGACUCCUACGGGAGGCAGCNNGAUGAAGGCCUUCGGGUUGUAAACUCCUUUUGUAGGGGAAGAUAAUGACGGUACCCUGCGAAUAAGCCACGGCUAACUCUGUGCCAGCAGCCGCGGUAAGACAGAGGUGGCGAGCGUUGUUCGGAAUUACUGGGCUUAAAGGGCGCGUAGGCGGUGAUAUAAGUCUGGGGUGGAAGCCCAUAGCUUAACUAUGGGACUGCCCUGGAAACUGUAUUGCUUGAGUCGGACAGGGGAAGGCGGAAUUCCAGGUGUAGCGGUGAAAUGCGUAGAUAUCUGGAGGAAGGCCUGUGGUGAAGACGGCCUUCUGGGUCUUGACUGACGCUGAGGCGCGAAAGCGUGGGUAGCAAACAGGAUUAGAUACCCUGGUAGUCCACGCCCUAAACGGUGGGUACUAGGUGUGGGGCCCGUACGGGUUCUGUGCCGAAGGGAAACCAUUAAGUACCCCGCCUGGGGAGUACGG
rnacentral:rRNA from 1 species